AAUCCCAGUGGCUAGAUGUGCCAAGCUUAUAGAGACGUACCCCAAGAGACUUGCAGCUGUAAUUGCUGCAAAGGGUGGCUCUAUAAAGUAGUAGUUACGCACAUUCAAGUUUUUUGUUUUCUUGUCUUAUUUCUUGUUUGUUUUAAUUUUAAAUUUUUUAAAUUUUAAUUCUAGGUUGUAAGGCAAUAAAAUAGGAAAAUGCCAAGGGGGGGGGGUGAAUAUUUUCGCAAGCCACUGUAUUCACCAAUCUAACACAAACCUGACAACAACCCUACACCAACUUUACACCAACCUAACACCAACCUUACACCAAUCUAACACCAACUUUACACCAAUCUUUCACAAACCUGACAACAACCCUACACCAACCUAACACCAACCUUACACCAAUCUAACACAAACCUGACAACAACCCUACACCAACUUUACACCAACCUAACACCAACCUUACACCAAUCUUUCACAAACCUGACAACAACCCUACACCAACCUAACACCAACCUAACACCAACCUUACACCAAUCUAACACAAACCUGACAACAACCCUACACCAACCUAACACCAACUUUACACCAAUCUAACACAAACCUGACAACAACCCUACACCAACUUUACACCAACCUUACACCAAUCUUUCACAAACUUUACACCAAUCUUACACCGACUACACACCAAUUUCACAUCAACCUUAAAACAGCUAUACACCAAUCUUACACUAACCAUACACCAAUCUUACACCUUCCUUACACCAACCAUACACCAACUUUAAACCAGCUGUACACCUACCUUAAACCAACCUUAAACCAACCUUAUACCAACCAUUCAACAACCUUAUACUCAGCAGUCGACCCAACACUACAUAGCACUACAUAGCACUACAUAGCACUACAUAGCACUACAUAAGCACUACAUAGCACUACAUAGCACUACAUAAACACUACAUAAGCACUACAUAAACACUACAUAGCACUACAUAAACACUACAUAGCACUACAUAGCACUACAUAAACACUACAUAGCACUACAUAAACACUUGAUUGUGGGAUUAUGUCACAACGUCAGUCAGAAGUAGGGCUACCUAACAGAAAGGCUAACAAGUGGUAAUUGGAAUUGAACACGAAGGUUAAUAAGCAAAAACAGAAACCUCUUUAAGAGGUGGAAAACCAUAAAUUUUUGUCAUGGAAGUCAAUCAUUAUCUGUUUUGUACCUGGAGGGAAAAAAAAGGUUUAGAGGUUGUUUUUAGCUCACUUUACUCUGACUGCGUAUCACCACUGAGGAACACCCACAAUCCUCCAACACGGGCUCUCAACUCUCACGGCUGAUUACUGGUUAUUACGCGCAGCAGGGCCGACGUUUCGGUAGCAAAACGUCGGCGGAUGUUGCAAAUAGAAAUGCCAACAAGUAGAGCUGAAGUGAUUCCUUAUUCUACACGUCAGAGAGGGGUUGUUUGUUCUACGUAGUAUAUUUCUAUCGGAACGUUACACAACGUUGCGUCCUGCUGAACACGCCCCCGGGAUUUUAAUUUGCCGUUGUGCCAAUGUUAGCCUGAUGAAAUCAGAUUGACUUCUGUUCUCAAAUGUUGAGUGGCAAAACUGAGGUGUUGUUAAUUAAGAUAUUACAGAGUAAUUACACAGUCCAGAGGUGUUAUUACUCAGUCCAGAGGUGUUAUUACACAGUCCAGAGGUGUUAUUACUCAGUCCAGAGGUGUUAUUACACAGUCCAGAGGUGUUAUUACACAGUCCAGAGGUGUUAUUACUCAGUCCAGAGGUGUUAUUACUCAGUCCAGAGGUGUUAUUACACAGUCCAGAGGUGUUAUUACACAGUCCAGAGGUGUUAUUACUCAGUCCAGAGGUGUUAUUACACAGUCCAGAGGUGUUAUUACAGUCCAGAGGUGUUAUUACACAGUCCAGAGGUGUUAUUACACAGUCCAGAGGUGUUAUUACACAGUCCAGAGGUGUUAUUACACAGUCCAGAGGUGUUAUUACACAGUCCAGAGGUGUUAUUACACAGUCCAGAGGUGUCUUAGUCUUGUCUUUAUGUCAUAAAACUCAGCAGAUACAAGGUGAUUGUUUCAUUAUAUUAUUUUAUGUUUUUAUUACAGUGUGAAGACUGUAAUUGUUGACAGUAUUGCUAAAAACUUUUCAUUCACACUGUUCAACUUUAUUUUAAUCAAACACUUCUUGUUCUCAAAUGUCCAGAUGGAAAAACAGAUAUGUUUUGUCACGUCUAUCUAGUAUUUAAUGUCUUGUCUUUCGGAGGCAGAUCCAUAGAUUCAUCAUCAGUUAGUUUUACUAUGACGUGUUUUACCGUGUUAACUUUGCUGUUUGAAAGUCUUGUUGCCAUGACACCAGUAUUACUGUCCUGAGUCCUACCUGUCCUGAGUCCUACCUGUCCUGUGUCCUACCUGUCCUGUGUCCUACCUGUAGUCACACCAGUAUUACUGUCCUGAGUCCUACCUGUCCUGAGUCCUACCUGUCCUGUGUCCUACCUGUCCUGUGUCCUACUGUACCUGUCCUGUGUCCUACCUGUCCUGUGUCCUACUGUACCUGUCCUGUGUCCUACUGUACCUGUUCUGUGUCCUACCUGUAGUCACACCAGUAUUACUGUCCUGUGUCCUACCUGCCCUGUGUCCUACUGUACCUGUCCUGUUUCCUACUGUACCUGUCCUGUGUCCUACCUGUAGUCACACCAGUAUUACUGUCCUGUGUCCUACCUGUCCUGUGUCCUACUGUACCUGUCCUGUGUCCUACCUGUCCUGUGUCCUACUGUACCUGACCUGUGUCCUACUUUACCUGUCCUGUGUCCUACCUGUCCUGUGUCCUACUGUACCUGUCCUGUGUCCUACUGUACCUGUCCUGUUUCCUACCUGUCCUGUGUCCUACUGUACCUGUCCUGUGUACUACCUGUAGUCACACCAGUAUUACUGUCCUGAGUCCUACCUGUCCUGAGUCCAACCUGUCCUGUGUCCUACCUGUCCUGUGUCCUACCUGUCCUGUGUCCUACCUGUAGUCACACCAGUAUUACUGUCCUGUUUCCUACCUGUCCUGUGUCCUACUGUACCUGUUCUGUGUCCUACCUGUAGUCACACCAGUAUUACUGUCCUGUGUCCUACCUGUCCUGUAUCCUACCUGUCCUGUGUCCUACUGUACCUGUCCUGUUUCCUACCUGUAGUCACAUCAGUAUUACUGUCCUGUGUCCUACCUGUCCUGUGUCCUACCUGUCCUGUGUCCUACCUGUAGUCACACCAGUAUUACUGUCCUGUUUCCUACCUGUCCUGUGUCCUACUGUACCUGUCCUGUGUCCUACCUGUAGUCACACCAGUAUUACUGUCCUGUUUCCUACCUGUCCUGUGUCCUACUGUACCUGUCCUGUGUCCUACCUGUAGUCACACCAGUAUUACUGUCCUGUGUCCUACCUGUCCUGUGUCCUACCUGUCCUGUGUCCUACUGUACCUGUUCUGUUUCCUACCUGUAGUCACAUCAGUAUUAUCUGUCCUGUGUCCUACCUGUCCUGUGUCCUACUGUACCUGUCCUGUGUCCUACCUGUCCUGUGUCCUACCUGUCCUGUGUCCUACCUGUCCUGUGUCCUACCUGUCCUGUGUCCUACCUGUCCUGUGUCCUACUGUACCCCACAUCUGUCCUACCUGUAUGUUCUGUUUGAAAGUUAAUUUUUGUCUGUGUUACAUAGAAAACACAAUAUGUUACAUGUAAACACCACACGUUAUCAUGGACAGGUCGAUUUUUAAUUAUAAUUAUUUCAUAACUUUAGUGUCUAUGUUAAUACACACAGACCUUUGAACACUUGAGCAGUAUCAGUAAAAUGGUUUUUUUAAGCA